UACGUAGGGUGCGAGCGUUAAUCGGAAUUACUGGGCGUAAAGCGUGCGCAGGCGGUUUUGUAAGCCAGACGUGAAAUCCCCGGGCUCAACCUGGGAAUGGCAUUUGGGACUGCAAGGCUGGAGUGUGGCAGAGGAGACUGGAAUUCCUGGUGUAGCAGUGAAAUGCGUAGAUAUCAGGAGGAAUACCGAUGGCGAAGGCAGGUCUCUGGGCUGACACUGACGCUCAUGCACGAAAGCGUGGGGAGCAAACAGG
rnacentral:rRNA from 1 species